ensembl:lncRNA LOC103693505 uncharacterized LOC103693505
CUCGGCCUCCCGACGCACGAAGGCCCAACAAACCAGGCUUUGUUGAGGGAGCAGCCUUUGGGAAAGCCCGGAGUUUGCCAUUCAUCAAACCCGAAACUAGGAGAGCCUACUUGCGGUAUAAACAUUUGCGGUAGCCCCGCCUCUCCGCAUUGUACUGUGGGAGCUGCAGUUCUGGACCGUCCAUAGUUUAGACGCCGUAAGGAGGAUAAAACCGAUUAAGAAUCUGAGCGUGUCAAUAUAUGACCACUAUCCACCAAAAUUCUUACGAAGAAUGAAGAAAGCAUAAUUCAAACAUCCAGUCGAUGAUUUUCAUGACAGGUUCUGCUCUCCCAUGAGAAAAUAAUGAUAGAAAAGCAACUGUCUCCAGAGAGGCCCUGCCAGAGCAUGACAAAUAGAGAGGCAGAUGCUUGCGACAACCAUUGAACUGAGAACAGGGUCCCCUUUGGAGGACUUAAAGAAAAAUUGAAGAAACUGAAGGCAUUUGCAACUGUAUAAGAACAACAACACCAACCAACCAAAGAUCCCAGGGACCAAACCACCAUCCAAAGAGUACACAUGAACAGACUCAUGGAUCCUGCUGCAUAUGUAGCAGAAGAUGGCCUUGUUGGGCACCAAAGGGAGGAGAAGCCCUUGGUCUUCCCAAGGGUGGACCCCACUCCCACCCCCAGUAUAGGGGAAUGUUAGGGCGGGGAGGCAGGAAGGGAUACAUGGUUGGGUGGGGGGAAGGGGGAUAACAUUUGUAGUGUAAAUAAAAUAUAUCCAAUAAAAAUGAAAAGCAACUGUGAAAGCUUACACCCA